GUUAGAAGCCGGUGUAAGAGAGAUGGCUGCUGAAGACACAUAGCCGCACGUGCGAACAUGGCCUCACAGCUUGCCUCUCCAUAAGAGGUUUAUUUGUCUUCUCAUAUUUGUUCAAUGUGGACAAGAACCUUCUGGCCCCUGCUCGUCUUUUGCAUUUGGAAUCUUUUGACUUCUGCUUUCUUGAGGAGUGAGGCUCCUGGGCAAGUUGUCACCCAACUCUGGGCAGUCAUCCCAGGACCUGAGAGUCACUGCAAAUCCUUGCUCAGAACCCCAUGCCCAUGUGUUCAUCCUUGCGUACUUUCCCAGGCCCCAGACCAAAUUAAAACUUGGCAGUUGAAUCACGGUUUUCACAAAAUCAGCCCAACAAACUAUGGCUCCAACUCCAGCAGGGCUGGGCCACUCAAGGCAGAGUAAAGCUUCAGAGACAGAAAUGGAAAGCUGACCAGGGCUGCCCAGGAGCCGUGACGAAGGAGACUUGUCACUCUGUUGCUGCAAACACAUAGGUGUUUAGAGUGUGUAGGCCACUGUUCCAGGUAGGAGUCUCAUGGAGAACUUGAGAGGGAGGACUGUGUGUGUGUGGCCAAGGUAAGUCUCAGACUGAAGGCAUGUGCUAACAGGGCAGCUAACAGAUCUGCAGAAUGUAAUGUGCCUGACCCUGAGCUGCUGAUCUACCUCACACUCCAAUUCAAUUCAGUCAUUUCAGUUGCUUAAGGAAAUCUGCAGUU
rnacentral:lncRNA from 1 species